GACGAACGCUGGCGGCGUGCUUAACACAUGCAAGUCGAGCGGUAAGGCCCUUUCGGGGGUACGACGAGCGGCGAACGGGUGAGUAACACGUGGGUGACCUGCCCUUAGCUCUGGGAUAAGCCUGGGAAACUGGGUCUAAUACCGGAUAUGACUCCAUGACGCAUGUUGUGGGGUGGAAAGCCUUGUGCGGCUAGGGAUGGGCCUGCGGCCUAUCAGCUUGUUGGUGGGGUGAUGGCCUACCAAGGCGACGACGGUAGCCGGCCUGAGAGGGCGACCGGCCACACUGGGACUGAGACACGGCCCAGACUCCUACGGGAGGCAGCAGUGGGGAAUCUUGCGCAAUGGGCGAAAGCCUGACGCAGCGACGCCGCGUGGGGAUGACGGCCUC
rnacentral:rRNA from 1 species